CAUGAUGAUGUCACUGACUCUGCUGCUGGCCACCCUGGGGCUCCUUGUUCAGGCCUCAUCAGGAGAAAUCCUCCUGACUCAGUCUCCUGGAUCUCAGUCUGCUGUUCCAGGACAGACUGUCUCCAUCAGCUGUAAAGCCAGUUCGAGUGUUAGUGGCUACCUCUCCUGGUACCUUCAGAAACCUGGAGAAGCUCCUAAACUCCUGAUAUAUUACGCUUCAACCCGUCAGUCUGGAGUUUCAGAUCGUUUCAGUGGAGGUGGAUCUGGUACUGACUACACUCUGACCAUCAGUGGAGUUCAGGCUGAAGAUUCAGGAGUUUACUACUGUCAGCAGGGUGCGAGCUACCCGUGGACUUUUGGUGGAGGAACCAGACUGGAUGUUGGAAGUGAUGCCCGUCCCACCCUGACGGUGCUGCCCCCCUCCAGUGAGCAGCUGCAGCAGGGGACGGCCACGCUCAUGUGCCUGGCCAACAAGGGCUUCCCCUCAGACUGGAGUCUGUCCUGGAAGGUGGACGGCAGCAGCAGCAGCAGCAGCAUCAGCUGGGAGCAGAGCAGCAGCCCCGGGGUGCUGGAGAAGGACGGCCACUACAGCUGGAGCAGCACCCUGAGGCUCUCUGCAGACCAGUGGAGGAAGGUGGGCUCUGUGACCUGUGAGGCCACCCAGGGCUCCCAGACUCCGCUCUCAGAGACUCUGAGGAGAGACCAGUGUUCCCAGUCCUGAUCUGACUCACUGCUUUUACUCUGCUACUGCUCUCAGUCUGCUCUCUUUCUCUGUUUCUCUCAUGAUGUUUCAACAUUAAAGAAUUCCAUCGUAUGUUUUAAAAGUGACCAGUCUUUUGAAUUCCUUUCUCUCACAUGUGUUAUAUAUCAUGAGCACGAAUCAGAUUAAUGUGCCAAAGUGACAAUUGUAAGAAGUACAUUUUUCCAGAUUCAUUUUUCAAAAUAUUUUUAAGACUGUAGACAUGGUGCAGCCAUUUCAAUGGUAAAUCACAAAGCUAUCAGAUUUAACUAAUCUAUACUUUUGAAGAUCAUAAGUUAAUAUGUCAUUAAAUUUGUAUUUUUACCCAAGAUCAUUUAUCAUUCAUUUGUAAUCCUAUGUUCCCAAUAUAAAUGGUGCCCCGUUUAGAGGUAUCCCUACACAUAUUUUGGGACAUCCUAAAAUCCCAACAUAUUGGUGCCCCGUGUGAGGCAGUGUACAGUUGGUAAUCACUCUGCACUCUGUAACUCUCAUUUUCACACAUGUUCUGGCUUAUUUUGAUGCUUUCAACAUUUAUAAAGCAAUAAAGAUUUUAUUGUGUUUAUUAUGAAUGUGUCUUUUGGCUUCAUUUCUGUUACAAAUAUAAGAUACAACACUC